AUACGUAGGGUGCGAGCGUUGUCCGGAAUUACUGGGCGUAAAGAGCUCGUAGGUGGUUUGUCGCGUCGUCUGUGAAAUUCCGGGGCUUAACUCCGGGCGUGCAGGCGAUACGGGCAUAACUUGAGUACUGUAGGGGAGACUGGAAUUCCUGGUGUAGCGGUGGAAUGCGCAGAUAUCAGGAGGAACACCGGUGGCGAAGGCGGGUCUCUGGGCAGUAACUGACGCUGAGGAGCGAAAGCAUGGGUAGCGAACAGGAUUAGAUACCCUGGUAGUCCAUGCCGUAAACGGUGGGCGCUAGGUGUAGGGGUCUUCCACGACUUCUGUGCCGUAGCUAACGCAUUAAGCGCCCCGCCUGGGGAGUACGGCCGCAAGGCUAAAACUCAAAGGAAUUGACGGGG
rnacentral:rRNA from 1 species